rnacentral:rRNA from 1 species
CGGCGGAGCAUGCGGAUUAAUUCGAUGCAACGCGAAGAACCUUACCAAGGCUUGACAUAUACCGGAAACUCCAGAGAUGGUUGCCCCUUUUAGGUCGGUAUACAGGUGGUGCAUGGUUGUCGUCAGCUCGUGUCGUGAGAUGUUGGGUUAAGUCCCGCAACGAGCGCAACCCUCGUUCUAUGUUGCCAGCACGUAAUGGUGGGGACUCAUGGAAGACUGCCGGGGUCAACUCGGAGGAAGGUGGGGAUGACGUCAAAUCAUCAUGCCCCUUAUGUCUUGGGCUUCACGCAUGCUACAAUGGCCGGUACAAAGGGCUGCGAUACCGCAAGGUGGAGCGAAUCCCAAAAAACCGGUCCCAGUUCGGAUUGGGGUCUGCAACUCGACCCCAUGAAGUCGGAGUCGCUAGUAAUCGCAGACCAGCAACGCUGCGGUGAAUACGUUCCCGGGCCUU